UACGAAGGGGCUAGCGUUGCUCGGAAUCACUGGGCGUAAAGGGUGCGUAGGCGGGUCUUUAAGUCAGAGGUGAAAUCCUGGAGCUCAACUCCAGAACUGCCUUUGAUACUGAAGGUCUUGAGUUCGGGAGAGGUGAGUGGAACUGCGAGUGUAGAGGUGAAAUUCGUAGAUAUUCGCAAGAACACCAGUGGCGAAGGCGGCUCACUGGCCCGAUACUGACGCUGAGGCACGAAAGCGUGGGGAGCAAACAGG
rnacentral:rRNA from 1 species